rnacentral:rRNA from 1 species
GACGAACGCUGGCGGCGUGCUUAACACAUGCAAGUCGAACGGAAAGGCCCCUUCGGGGGUACUCGAGUGGCGAACGGGUGAGUAACACGUGGGCAACCUGCCCCUAGCUUCGGAAUAACAUCUGGAAACAGAUGCUAAUACCGAAUAAUAACCGGAGAGGGCAUCCUCACCGGUUCAAAGUUUUUCGGCUAGGGAUGGGCCCGCGGCCUAUCAGCUUGUUGGUGGGGUAAUGGCCUACCAAGGCGACGACGGGUAGCCGGCCUGAGAGGGCGACCGGCCACACUGGGACUGAGAUACGGCCCAGACUCCUACGGGAGGCAGCAGUGGGGAAUAUUGCGCAAUGGGCGAAAGCCUGACGCAGCGACGCCGCGUGAGGGACGACGGUCUUCGGAUUGUAAACCUCUUUCAGCUCUGACGAAGCGAAAGUGACGGUAGGAGCAGAAGAAGCACCGGCCAACUACGUGCCAGCAGCCGCGGUAAUACGUAGGGUGCAAGCGUUGUCCGGAAUUAUUGGGCGUAAAGAGCUCGUAGGCGGUUUGUCACGUCGAAUGUGAAAACCCGGGACUCAACUCCGGGCCUGCAUUCGAUACGGGCAGACUAGAGUUCGGUAGGGGAGACUGGAAUUCCUGGUGUAGCGGUGAAAUGCGCAGAUAUCAGGAGGAACACCGAUGGCGAAGGCAGGUCUCUGGGCCGAUACUGACGCUGAGGAGCGAAAGCGUGGGGAGCGAACAGGAUUAGAUACCCUGGUAGUCCACGCCGUAAACGUUGGGCGCUAGGUGUGGGGGGUCCUUCCACGACCUCCGUGCCGCAGCUAACGCAUUAAGCGCCCCGCCUGGGGAGUACGGCCGCAAGGCUAAAACUCAAAGGAAUUGACGGGGGCCCGCACAAGCGGCGGAGCAUGCGGAUUAAUUCGAUGCAACGCGAAGAACCUUACCAAGGCUUGACAUAUACAGGAAAGUUCCAGAAAUGGUUCCCCCGCAAGGUCUGUAUACAGGUGGUGCAUGGUUGUCGUCAGCUCGUGUCGUGAGAUGUUGGGUUAAGUCCCGCAACGAGCGCAACCCUCGUCUUAUGUUGCCAGCACGUAAUGGUGGGAACUCAUAAGAGACUGCCGGGGUCAACUCGGAGGAAGGUGGGGAUGACGUCAAAUCAUCAUGCCCCUUAUGUCUUGGGCUUCACGCAUGCUACAAUGGCCGGUACAAUGGGCUGCAAUACCGCGAGGUGGAGCGAAUCCCAAAAAGCCGGUCUCAGUUCGGAUUGGGGUCUGCAACUCGACCCCAUGAAGUCGGAGUCGCUAGUAAUCGCAGAUCAGCAACGCUGCGGUGAAUACGUUCCCGGGCCUUGUACACACCGCC